rnacentral:rRNA from 1 species
UACAGAGGUCCCAAGCGUUGUUCGGAUUCACUGGGCGUAAAGGGUGCGUAGGCGGUCGGGUAAGUCUGAUGUGAAAUCUCACAGCUUAACUGUGAAACUGCAUUGGAUACUAGUUCGGCUUGAGAGUUGGAGGGGGGACUGGAAUUCCUGGUGUAGCGGUGAAAUGCGCAGAUAUCAGGAGGAACACCGGUGGCGAAGGCGGGUCUCUGGGCCGAUACUGACGCUGAGGAGCGAAAGCGUGGGGAGCGAACAGG